CUGGGCUGGCUGGGCCGGGCUGGGCUGGGCAGGGCCGGCAGCCUGGAGACGCUGGGCUGGGGCAGAGGGCAGCGAGGGAGCCAGAGGGAGCCAGGAAGGGCCUGACCAGGGCCCGGCGGGCGGCGCCGGAGCUGGCGGGAGCCCGACCCAGAGAUGACCCCUUACCAUCAAAGGGAACCGCCCAGGUAAAGGCAGCCCUGUCUGCUAAGUCAGAAGAUAGAGGUUGUUCGUGACUGUCUCCACCCCACCUGCAGAGGAUGACAACCCUCACAGCCACCCGAGGGGCAGCGCUGUCCAGCGGAUGCAGAGGGGACUGCAGGAGCAGCCGUCAGUGCAUGCUCUCCGAGCCCGCUGGCUGCAGGACCCUUCCCUCAGAGGAGUGUGUAACACGGAUCCUGGUUCCCAGCAGCCACACUGCGCGAGGGCCACGCCUUCCCUGAACAACCCCAAACCUGGAAAUGGUGCUGAGCACUCUUCAUCCACUACCUCGAUCAACCCUCGUACCAACCCUGCGAAGCGGACGGGAUUAUUCCCCUGGCUUACAGAUGAGGAAAGCGAGGAAGGGUGUGCUCCUGUAACUGACGCCACAUCCUACAACUACCAGUCAGGGUUGGCGUAAGGACACUCACACAGCUCAAGACUGAGCCUGAGUAAGGGAGCGGGGAAGGGGUAUUCUGUUCAUCAG